GGAUUCGUAGCUCAGCUGGUAGAGCGCUUGCCGCACUAAGGCACAGCGUUUCUGUCGUUGGUUCAAAUUCAGCGGAAUCCC